GACGAACGCUGGCGGCGUGCCUAAUACAUGCAAGUAGAACGCUGAAGGAGGAGCUUGCUUCUCUGGAUGAGUUGCGAACGGGUGAGUAACGCGUAGGUAACCUGCCUGGUAGCGGGGGAUAACUAUUGGAAACGAUAGCUAAUACCGCAUAAGAGUAGAUGUCGCAUGACAUUUGCUUAAAAGGUGCAAUUGCAUCACUACCAGAUGGACCUGCGUUGUAUUAGCUAGUUGGUGAGGUAACGGCUCACCAAGGCAACGAUACAUAGCCGACCUGAGAGGGGGAUCGGCCACACUGGGACUGAGACACGGCCCAGACUCCUACGGGAGGCAGCAGUAGGGAAUCUUCGGCAAUGGACGGAAGUCUGACCGAGCAACGCCGCGUGAGUGAAGAAGGUUUUCGGAUCGUAAAGCUCUGUUGUAAGAGGAGAACGAGUGUGAGAGUGGAAAGUUCACACUGUGACGGUAUCUUACCAGAAAGGGACGGCUAACUACGUG
rnacentral:rRNA from 1 species